ACGUGAAUUAGCAUGAUAUAAUUUAUUACUUCUCCAGAGUUCAUUAUGUUCCGUAAAACUACAAACAAAUUGCUUGCACUCUAUCCUGUGAUGGACAUACCAAAUUAUUAUGUAAAAUGCAUAAGUAGUUUCAAAGAUACGUUCUGACCCUCAGAUCCUGGUAUCUUGCUCUGAAACCAUUCAGAAGACUCGGACACAAAAUUAAAUAUCAUUUAAAAGAUUCAACACAUAACUUGCUCAACCAUCCUGAUCCCUGACUUCCUGUUAGUAUAGUCUGCAGGCUACAAGUACGUGUAACUUGUAGCUAAUCGUAUCCCAAAAUUUCAGUACUCUUCCUGAAGGAUAAAAAUGUCAGACAGUCAGAUAAUUACUUUGUGGGCAUAUCUAAGAAGCUAUUUUGUUCAUGAUGGAUCAAAGCUCACAAUUAUCUUUGCUACUGAACUACUGUAAUGCAUCAAAAGGGAACAUGUCAAUUAUCAGAAGUGAGUUGAUUUUGGUCCCCUUAACCAGAGCCUGAUCACAUCUGCUGUACAAUUAUCUAUGACCCUGAACUACAGUAACAUUCAUUCCGGCGUAAUUGAGUAACAUUCAUUCCGCUGGGAAAUUGUCUUCAUGAGCAAAUAUUAAGCAAGAAAUUCACAUUCAAUCCAUUCUUAUCUAAAACCUAACCAACCACGCCAAACAUCACCAUCUCUGUUCUUCCCACCUUGACUUGCAACCAAGCGAACAAACAGGCAAUCCUUCUUCUCUUUAUCGAAGCAAAGCAAUGGAAAUUUCUACAAAAAAUCUACCAAGCAAAGAAUUAGGUUCUGGAGAAGAAGAACCCGCACCUUCGCUCUCGGCAGUCACCAUUCACCAAUCACCAGCGAACUGAUCGGUGAGGCGGCCAUUAGUUACACCGCUCUGCAACUGAUCUCCGCAAACGCUGGCUGGUCUGGGUAGCUCGUGAUCGACGGCGCCCCGCCGCCAAGCCGCCGCCGGUGAGCCACGUCGAGGUGGCGGUGUACGGUUCCGGCCGCCGCCGCGAGAUCGACGAAAUACCUCACUACUACUAGUAGGAGAAAAAGAGAGAGAGAGAGAAAUUGCGCAAUGGAUCGCAGCCGUCCAAAAAUGCCGAAGGCUCACCAAAC
rnacentral:lncRNA from 1 species